rnacentral:piRNA from 1 species
UCACUUUCUGCCUCCUGUAGUUAGCUUC